rnacentral:ncRNA from 1 species
CAGAGUAGGGAUUAGAGCGUUAAGUGCUUUGGGGAUGGGAUGUUGCCUCAUGGACGAAGAAUUUUUAUUCGCGGUUCUAAUUUCGCAUUCGCUGC